GAUGAACGCUGGCGGCGUGCCUAAUACAUGCAAGUCGAACGAAUCUCUUUUAGAGAUGAGUGGCGAACGGGUGAGUAAUACAUAGGUAACCUGCCCCUGUGCGGGGGAUAACAGGAGGAAACUCCUGCUAAUACCGCAUAGCCAUGAGCACCGCAUGGAGCUCAUGCCAAAUAUCCUUUAUGGGAUAGCGCAGGGAUGGACCUAUGGCGCAUUAGCUGGUUGGCGGGGCAACGGCCCACCAAGGCAACGAUGCGUAGCCGGCCUGAGAGGGCGGACGGCCACAUUGGGACUGAGACACGGCCCAGACUCCUACGGGAGGCAGCAGUAGGGAAUUUUCGGCAAUGGGGGAAACCCUGACCGAGCAACGCCGCGUGAGCGAAGAAGGCCUUCGGGUCGUAAAGCGUCUGUUGUAAGGAAGAAACGGCGGCAUACAGGAAAUGGUAUGCGAGUGACGGUAC
rnacentral:rRNA from 1 species